GGAAAAGACAAUUUUAUAUGAAAGUGUCCAUAUUGAUGCUAUGAGACGCGGGUUCGAUUCCCGCCUUAUCCA
rnacentral:tRNA from 1 species